CCCGUGGAGUGCAGAGUCAGCAGAGCACAGCACUGGAACUGGGCUUCUGGCAUCCACUGUAAAAGGGAAACAGUACCAGUACGAAAAUCCCUGUUUUUACACUGAGAGUGGCAUCACCAGGUCACCGUACCACAGCACUCUCCACGAACAGCGUGGAGCUGUAGAAACUUCAAGAACAUAAAGACGGGAGAACUCGCGCUGUAGCAGUCACUCGACAAACCCGUCGGGGCACCGCCUGUGUCGGGCACUGCCCCAGACACUAAAUGCGGAGGCCUGCCCUGUCCAAUUUGCAUUCUAGCAGAAAGAAGACCUGCAGAUAAGACCUAAGACUUUAUAUAAGGACCUGGAAGAUGAACGGAAAGAAGGAAGGACAAAGUAGACAGGGCAGGGGCGUCAGAGGGACUGGCAUUUGUUAAAAUGCCUGGUCAUUGUUGACCUCUUCAAAGAGGUGACAUUUGAACAAAGACUGAGAGAAGGGAGGGUGUGAACCCUGCAGAGAUCUGGUCCAGGCAGAGGAGGGCCUGCCAGGAGUGUUCCAGAAGGGCCAGAGGGCCAAUGGGCUCCGGAAGAGAGACCCAGAGGCUGAUCUUAUCUGAGCGGAUGCUCGUGUUUCAUCUGAACACAGUCCUUCCAUACGUUUUACUCUGAACGACAGCAACGAGGACUUAAAAUGGUUUCCGGAUCUCCCCCAAGAGCAGGCCCGGAGAC